rnacentral:misc_RNA from 1 species
AAGUCGUAACAAGGUUUCCGUAGGUGAACCUGCGGAAGGAUCAUUGCCACACCGAUCCAAGAUCGAACACAAUAUGUGCACUGUCGAGCCGUACCGAAAGGUAUUUGGUUCACCCCUAACUAUACCAUGAUAACUUUGGAACUAAGUUUUGUCGAGUUCGUCUUGACUUAACGACUAGAUUAAAUUCUAAAACAACUUUUAACAAUGGAUAUCUAGGCUCUU